rnacentral:rRNA from 1 species
UACGGAGGGUGCAAGCGUUAAUCGGAAUUACUGGGCGUAAAGCGAGUGUAGGCGGCUACGUCAGUCGGAUGUGAAAGCCCCGGGCUUAACCUGGGAAUGGCAUUCGAUACUGCGUGGCUAGAGUCUGAUAGAGGGAAGUGGAAUUCCGGGUGUAGCGGUGAAAUGCGUAGAUAUCCGGAGGAACACCAGUGGCGAAGGCGGCUUCCUGGAUCAAGACUGACGCUGAGGCUCGAAAGCGUGGGGAGCAAACAGG